AUCACUUGAGAUCGUCCAUCAGAAGUGUUAACAUAGAUCUCUAUGCCGAUGAGGAUUUGGGCAACACACCUAUGAACGAAGAAGUGAAGGAGGAGAUUGUAGUUUACCUAUUCCAGUGAAGGGCAAGAUAGAGACUUUAAAUCAAGCAUUAGAUAUCUUUGGGAUGAAUGUGAUUGUGGAAGCAAGUUUUUUGUUAUGACCAAGCAAAAAUAACAUCACAUAUCAAGGAUCGUGAUCUCCGAUCCAGAAAUUUUGCCAACCAGUUAGAAGCGGCUACCUUGGAACAAAUAGUUCUAAUUCCGUAUAAUACUGGGUAAAUAAAUAAGAUUAACACAUUAUUAUGUUUUUCAUUGAGGUUAAAUGUAUACUCACAUUGAAGAUGUUUAUUGUAGUUUUCAUUGGAUGUUGCAUGUCAUCGAUCUUCGAGAGAACUGUGUUUAUGUUUUGGACUCUCUUCAAAAGGAUUAAAAACAUGGCAAGCUAAGCAUGAUUUACAACAUUAUCGGUCAAAUCCGAAAUGGAAACCUAUAAAGUGUCCUCGUCAAUUGGAUUCGGUUGGGUGUGGGUAUUAUGUCCAAAAGUAUAUACAUGAAAUCGUGCAUAAUUCUAUUUAAUACAAAAAAGUGCAUAUACGCAAGAGGAGAUUGACGAGAUUUGAACAAAAUAUGCAAGCUUUGUUAGCCGAUUUGUGUAAGCUUUUACACUUUUUUUUGUAGUUUAUAAGUUACUAGUACUAAUACUAAUUGUUUUAAUAUAUAAGCUACGAGAUUCUAGUACUA